GACGAACGCUGGCGGCGUGCCUAAUACAUGCAAGUAGAACGCACAGUUUAUACCGUAGCUUGCUACACCAUAAACUGUGAGUUGCGAACGGGUGAGUAACGCGUAGGUAACCUGCCUGGUAGCGGGGGAUAACUAUUGGAAACGAUAGCUAAUACCGCAUAAUAUUGAUUAUUGCAUGAUAAUUGAUUGAAAGAUGCUAUUGCAUCACUACCAGAUGGACCUGCGUUGUAUUAGCUAGUAGGUGAGGUAACGGCUCACCUAGGCGACGAUACAUAGCCGACAUGAGAGGAUGAGCGGCCACACUGGGACUGAGACACGGCCCAGACUCCUACGGGAGGCAGCAGUAGGGAAUCUUCGGCAAUGGAAGAAAGUCUGACCGAGCAACGCCGCGUGAGUGAAGAAGGUUUUCGGAUCGUAAAGCUCUGUUGUAAGAGAAGAACGGGUGUGAGAGUGGAAAGUUCACACUGUGACGGUAUCUUACCAGAAAGGGACGGCUAACUACGUG
rnacentral:rRNA from 1 species